GUCACCUGCUCCUCAGAUCAGAAGGUGAUUGUGGCUUUGGGUGGAUAUUAAUCAGCCACAGCACUGCCUGGUCAGAAAGAGCAAGUGUC
ensembl:miRNA